rnacentral:rRNA from 1 species
UACAGAGGCCUCGAGCGUUAGGCGGAAUCACGGGGCUUAAAGCGGGUGUAGGCGGAUUUCUAAGUACCUUGUGAAAUCCCACGGCUCAACCGUGGAACUGCUUGGUAUACUGGUUAUCUUGAGCCACCUAGGGGCCUGCGGAACAGAUGGUGGAGCGGUGAAAUGCGUAGAUAUCAUCUGGAACGGCAACGGUGAAAACAGCAGGCUGGGGGUGUGCUGACGCUGAGACACGAAAGCCAGGGGAGCAAACGGG